AACAAACUCCAUAUAUUAAAAAUAUUUUUAUGAUUCAAACAAGAACUGUUAAUUUUCUGUAAAAGGCAAUAUCCCGAUUAAAGACUCGAGGAAAUUAAAAUAAUUCAGAAAUCUUCAUAGACCUGAAACGAAUAGAGAAUGGAAACAGUGGACGCCACAGUUAACUCCGAAACAUACAAAUGAACCAAAAUUAAAAACACACGCAAGACUAAAAAAAGACUAGAGUUUCCUGAUAUGGGACACGCACAAAAAUGCAGCUGGGUUAAACAUGUUUUUGUGAGAUCUCGACCCUCCCCUUAUACAUCCUGCCAAUAUGGAAUAAACAAACACACAGCAAUACGCACAGUACCCUCAGUUUGAAAGAAGUCCAAGCACGAUGUUAGAAUAUGUAACAGAAGAAACUAAGCAACAUGACAAUAAUCAACAUAAAUUAACAAAGGACUACUAGCAGUUACUGAAAUGCCAGCUCAAGACCUCAAUUAAACUGAUCGGAAGAUUAUGCCUUCAUCAUAUGAAAAUCAAUCACAAUUUAUUGUAUACAAAAGUGUUUUUGUUUUAAGGAAAUGACAGAGAAUUUACAAUUUACCAGAUAUUAUUUCGUCAACAUGCACGAAUGAAACUAAUUUUUUUUAAUGUAUUUUAUUGUCAUUUCAAGACGGGGAAAUCGGAGGGUAAUAAAUGCGAUGUUGGAUUGAUUCGACGCAUAUAUGGUGCAAUAUUUACGUUUCAUCUUGAUAAACGAAUGAUAUUUGUACAGUUUAUAUUAUUAGUUAUUUAAUGGGUAACGAAUAUGUCUACAGUGUUGGGAUAUUAUCUUUAUUAUCAAAAAGACACAAAGCGUUUGUCGUAUUUUAAUAUCAGUUAUUUUGAUGACAAAACUGUGUGUUGGAUACUGAUACAUUGAAUCAAUUAACGUAUUGUUUUGUAUUAAAGCCAAUUUAAAGUUUACAAUAUUUACACAAGUCACGUUCUUUUUAUUGUUGAAUAUAAUGGUUCAUGCACAAAAAUAUAUAUAAUAUUCAAAUCUUGCAUUUAUUCAUAAUGAUUGUUAUACAAUGACUUAAAUUAAAUUUGUUUGCGAAAUUGUUAUAAAAACGAAUGUAUGAAGAUUACAUGUAUCUGCACAAAAACCAAUAUAACUGAUCAUUAAUUGUUUUUAAUUCCUCAAUAUAUCUGCACUUUGUUCUUUUAACUAGAUACAAGGUCUGACUAUCUUCCAUGAAAUUUGAUUAAACGGACUUUUCUAUGUUGAUCUCAUUGGUUUGUUUUAUAACUAUUGCUGUUUUUUUUUGUUUUUUUUUUUGUUUUUUGUAUUAUUAUUCUAAACUCUAAAAUAUAGUUAGUUAGGGGCUUUUGCAAAUAAUAUAGGAAAUUUUCCUAAGCUAUUUAGGAAGCUCGUACGAACUUAUAACAGAAAUAAUGAUCUAAUCGUUAUUCUGGAAAUUUGAGAAAAUUGGAUUAAAUAAAAUUCAAGAACAAACGCACGUCAAGGCUACAUCAUCUAGCUAUAUUUAAAACAAGAUCUGUAAUGGUAAACCGUUGUUUACAUUCAAUUUACAUGUCAGAGAUUUCAUUCGGUAUAUCGAAUAGAUAUAUCAUGAAAGAAUCAGUAACGGAAGCCAAGUACUGCGAUAGGAUCGUGAAAGAUCUGGUAUGGGAUCGUGAAGGAAAUCUUAUCGAGAAGACACAUGCAGGGUCAAAAGAUACAUUGUAAUCUAAUUUAUUGAAUUAUUAGAACAAAUUAAAAAAAAAAAGGUAAAACCGUCUGUCAAAAUCGUUUAACAUUAUGAUCAGUCUCUUAGAAAAUCAGAGCUGCAAAUAUCACCGUUUUAACAAAUUAUGAACAGUUUUUAUAUCUAUAGGAAGAAGAUCCUUGUCGGGUUUUCUUUAUUAAAAAAGGGGGGAAUGUUUUUGUAAAAAGUUACUCUUUUGGCAAGAAGAUUAUAAAAUUUGAGAAAUAUCAGGUUUUUUUUUGCUUUUCUUUUUUGAAAAUAACUAUUCAAAAAUAAUUUAUCAUUCUAUAGUUUUUUUUUCAGUAUUUCCUGCUUUCGUGACAAGUAUACACGGCCGAGCUUAAUACUCUUUCAUCGCAACUGGAAAUAUUUUUUUAAAUAUUACGCACAACUUAAAGGUCAGCGUUGCUCCUAUUCUUUUUAUACCAUGCACUAGUAUUUUAUUUAGUCUUGUAUUGAUUGUUGGUGAUUGAAAAUGUGUAAGGUAUAAAGUGUGGGACUUUCUUUGUAAAUAAGUAAGUCAGCUGUAUGGAAGUUAAUAUUUAUAAAACUCUGUCUUUGAAUUAUUUCUAUAAAAAUGUACAUUUCCUGUAAUUUUAGCAUUCCUCAAAGUUGUUGUUCAUGUUUUUAUAUUUAAUUUUCUCUUCUUUUCUAUUAAAUGUGUUUAAAUAUGA